rnacentral:tRNA from 1 species
GCGGGUAUAGUUUAGUGGUAGAACGAAAGCUUCCCAAGCUUUAGAUGAGGGUUCGAUUCCUCUACCCGCUCCA